AUACUUCCAAGCUUUGGCUAUAAAGGCCCAGACUUCUGUAGAGGCAGAUUGUUCCUAUGGCACUAAACCUUGUAUUUAGCCUAUAAUAUAACUAUAAUACCAUACAAUUGGCAUUUAUCCUACAAUCAAUACACUAGAUAUCAUUGCGACUAAUUAAAACACAGGUCCUUAUAGAACACUAAAAUCUGAUAAAACCUACGUUUCAAGAAAAUUACACUUUCUUCGCGUGCACACGUGACAUCAUUCAAUAAGGUCAUGCGCACAUCUGCGCAGGUUUAUUGCGGUAUCUCUCUAUUUGUUUGCAACUUCAGAGAGUUCAGAAAUCAGUUUAUCAGAGAAUGCGUUCUAUUUUUGGCGGCUACGUCGACAUAAUGAGACAGUGAACUGAAACGUGUCCAAUUGCGUAAAAUAACUACAUUUGAUUGUCAGUUGAUGAAAGUAACGAGGAACAAUGGAACAGGAGGGACCAAUCAAUGUCAAAGCUCUGAGGGCCAAGUUUCAGGAGGAAGCCAGAGCCCAGGCUCAAGCCCGGGACCAACACCGACCUGCCAUUGCUGAGAAGCCCAGACGGCUCCCAUCCACUGUUCCUGGGGAGCAGGAACAAACCUGUCAUCCCCAGGAUGGAGCCCUGAUGAGCUCCAUCCACUCGGCUGUGGAGAACAAACCUGUCAUCCCCAGGGUCAUCUUCAGGGAUGGGACCAGGGUGUCUGGGGGCAAAUGGCCCGUCUCCUUCCCUGCACUUGUACUGCAGGCCAUCCCACCAAAACCACCAACACCACCACACCAGAACAGUCUCCACAAUGGCGGAAGGGACUGCACAGCGACAGCCAAGAAAUCCUUCAAAGACCGCCACUUGCCUCUCGUACUGCCUGGCCUGCCUUUGAAGGAGCACAAAACCCAUUUGCCACCUCAUAAAGAGGUCCCGCCUCCAACAAAAUGCAAGAAAAAGGGUUUGCUGCUCCACCACCCCUUCAAGUCAACCAAAGUCUCCAAGGUUGGUGGCGAACCUGCAGACGAGCCUGCGUAUGCUGGUUUGACCACCAACAGACAUUCAGGAGCUCCAGUAGAGGGGCUUGUGAUGGACAGGAAUAAGGCUGAAGAUAGGCUGCCACUCCAGAUGGAACAUUCUAGCACGGAGUGCCCAACCUCCAGCCCAGACAUCACCAUCACUACUCCGUUAGAAGGCCCAGGUGAAGACUUAUCCUCUAUGGUUAGUGCGACCCAGUUCUUCAGCACGUUGGAGAAAGGCAAGAAACGGUUCUCACCUAAGCACCUGUUGGUGUAUGCCAGGCCCAAGAGCCUGCGUUCCAAUGGGGUCCAUCUCUCAGACCAUAGCUCUACCAUGGACAAGGGAGUUCAUCUGCCCUCUACAGAUUAUGAGAGUCAUGCCCCAGAACAUGACCUUCCAGCCCCUUUGCCUGUCUGUCUCCCGCACCUCCCUUGUGUUUCAGCUCUGCCGUUCAAGAUGAAUGACUCUUCCCGCAGACUAGAGACUGCAUCAGAGAAACAGUUUGGCCAGGAUAGAGCAGAGCUUCUGCUUGUAAAAUCUGAUGGACUUCCCCCUCCUCAUCCAGCCAGGAAACUUCUACCUGACCGGGGGUCUCUGGGACCUUUGCCGAUGAAACCUCCAAGACCUCCAAGGGUAGAUCUCAGAUGUUACCAACCAACCACAGAACAUCACAGAGAGUUGACUUCAGCGGUUGAACCUGAGACAUGUGAGGAUCCACACUCUGAGCCUCCAUCCAUUGCUAAUCCUGAACUGGUUGUUCCAGAGUUUCCAGACUUUGAGUUGAAUUCAGAACUGGAAACUGCAGAAGGCAAUGCAUUUGACCUUGCAGCUCUAGAACUAGAAGCUACAGAAUUUGGAACCCCUGAAUAUCCAGUAGAUCUAGACUUGAGGGUUCCAGAUUUUCUAUCCCCUGAAUGCGAGUUACCAUCUUGUGAGCCUCCAAAAAUUCCCAGCUUUGACCAACGAGCCCUGACCCUCAGCAGUCAUCAUGAUCUAGUUCUUUCAGAGUUCUUGGCUCAAACGUGGGAGUUUCCAGCUUCAGUUCUAAAACCUCAAGUUGUUUCUGAGCUAUCUGCUGAAAUGUUGCCUGUUGAACCCUCAUUCACAGAGGACACUGACCAUGACUCCGCUUCGGUUGAAUUUCCCCAUUCAGGACUGACGUUGAGUGUCUGUCAACAGGAGAACUAUUAUGAAACCUGUGAUAAUGUGUAUGAAGUUGUUGAGAACACUGUCAGUCAAAACUCACACAAACGUAAAGGCCCACCAAAGAAUCCUUAUGGGGACCCCCAUCCAGUGAAGGAGGAGCCUCGAAUGCACAUAUGGCCCCGGAAUCCAUGUAAGGAAAAACAGAGCCCUGAGAACCACGAGGACAAAGAUCAGAGGAAGAGAGAGAAGCACCGCCUCGAGAAGGAGAAGAAAGAGCAAAAGGAGAGGGAGAAAAAGGAGAAUGAAAUGAAGAAAAAAUUCAAAGUGACUGGCCAGGAGGAGGCGAUGUACCAUGCCAGGGUGACAGUGGCCAGUAAAGUGCGUAAGAAUGACCUGCCAGUGAAGAGUGGUGACACGGUUAGCAUCAUCCGAACCACCAACUGCCCCAAAGGAAAAUGGCUGGCCCGUGACGCCAACCACAAAUAUGGCUAUAUCUCUGUAAUGAAUGUGGAGCUGAAUAUCAAAGAGAUGCUGGAGCUCGGGAAGAAGGCUCAGGCUGCUGGCCGAGGAGGCACAGAGGGAGAUACCAUCAGCAUGGGGAGCAGAUCAUCUAAUCAUCAUCCCAUGCUACACAGCAGCUUCACAGAUGAUGAUGAGGAGUGGACAUUAGACGAAGAGACCCUGUCCCCCUACAUGGAGAACCGCAUUCACAAUCGGACUGUCUCAAUGCCUGAUAUGCUCUGCAGCCAUGCUAGUGCCCACCACACCCUUAGUGAUGGCAGCAUAGAGGACCCCCACACACAAACCAGACAUGAGGCUCUUCAGAAGUUAGCCAUCUUCUUUCAGAACAACAAAGCUGGCAUCAGUGACACAGCAGAAGACCGAGUGCCAACCCCUACAAAGCUUCCUAUGUGUUGUGGAGCCUCCAUACUCGUAAGUGAAGAUAGUGUGUGUGUGUAUAUUUCAUGCAUUAUCCUCAUUGGUCUUAAUAGCCCUUGAGGUAGUAGUCUAGCUUGGACCAAAAUGUAUGUACCUGUUUUCUAUGGCAGAGACCAGGAAGUGGUUUUUGCAGAUUUUGAACUACUUCCCCCUCCAGUUCUAUAUGCAGAUUUCCUGUGACAGCUUCACUGACUGAGAGAACUAAAGGGGAGCACAACAGUUUCUUCUCCAAUGAUUGGCUGAGUAACCUGACUGUUACUGAUGCAGGCCAGGCAGCCAGCUGACCAACCCCACACAUAUCACUCUGCCUUGGGCCUGGAGAACAUACCAUGAACUCCAGAUGAACCACUGUCGUUCUAGAUCUAUGGACUCUAGAUCUACCGUUUAGAUCCAGAUGAACCACAGUUGUUAUAGAUGUAUAAAACUAGCUCGAUAAACCAUUGUCAUAUCUCAGAUCUGUUGGAUUAAAAGCAUAGAAAUAAAAUUAAUAGAACUGUCUGUAUUAUAUUUGAAUGGGGUUGUCCAUUCUAUUUAUAUGCCUUUAAUCAUAUCCAAUUGUUGAAAUCCGAUAACUUUUGAAAACUGGGGGAGGGGUGUUUAUUAUUAUUAUUAGUGAAGUACGUUUGACCUGAUGCCUUUAUUUCUCUCGAUCACAUUUGUUUUGAUAGUUGUGUGGCUGCUUAAUGCUUUAUCCAUUGCAUGUGUACUGUUAUACAAUUGUUUUUGUUCUUGUUGCCUUUUGACUAUGAACACAGUAAGUAAUUCACUUUCUGUUCAUUGAUCAUUUUGGCACUACUGAAUGGGAAACGAUGAAGUAGUAGUCUGCACUUUCCAUAACACAAUGGUGAAAUGGUGCAUUGUUUUGGGUACAAUGCCUUGGUCAAGAGUAUGUAUAAUUAUUUUUUGGCUCUUCACACUUGUUUUGGUCUGUUUGUUCAAAAUAUCUGAUUUUGAUGUCCAAUGUAUCACCUUAAUGUAAAGCGUCAAAUAAAUGGUCAUAUAGUCUAA